rnacentral:rRNA from 1 species
CCUACGGGUGGCUGCAGUGGGGAAUAUUGGACAAUGGGCGAAAGCCUGAUCCAGCCAUGCCGCGUGUGUGAAGAAGGCCUUCGGGUUGUAAAGCACUUUCAGUGGGGAAGAAAGCCUUGGGGCUAAUACCCUCGAGGAAGGACAUCACCCACAGAAGAAGCACCGGCUAACUCCGUGCCAGCAGCCGCGGUAAUACGGAGGGUGCGAGCGUUAAUCGGAAUUACUGGGCGUAAAGCGCGCGUAGGCGGUCUGAUAAGCCGGUUGUGAAAGCCCCGGGCUCAACCUGGGAACGGCAUCCGGAACUGUCAGGCUAGAGUGCAGGAGAGGAAGGUAGAAUUCCCGGUGUAGCGGUGAAAUGCGUAGAGAUCGGGAGGAAUACCAGUGGCGAAGGCGGCCUUCUGGACUGACACUGACGCUGAGGUGCGAAAGCGUGGGUAGCAAGCAGGAUUAGAUACCCGAGUAGUC